CGCCUUUUGAAUUAUAAAUAUAAAAGGUCCUGCCUGCCCAGUGACACUUGUUUUUAACGGCCGCGGUAUUAUGACCGUGCAAAGGUAGCGUAAUCACUUGUCUUUUAAAUGAAGACCAGUAUGAAUGGCAAGACGAAAGCCUAACUGUCUCCCUAAGCUAGUCAAUAAAAUUGAUUUUCCCGUGCAGAAACGGGAAUAAUAGUAUAAGACGAGAAGACCCUGUGGAGCUUUAAACUUAAGCUAACAAACUAUAAAUGUACUAGCACCAAGUUUUUGGUUGGGGCGACCGUGAGGUAAAACAUAACCCUCAAGACGAAAACUAAGAAGGACACUUCAUAUAAAUAUUAAUAACUAAUUGACCCAAUAAUUGAUUAACGGACCAAGUUACCCCAGGGAUAACAGCGCAAUCUACUCAAAGAGCCCUUAUCGACGAGCAGGUUUACGACCUCGAUGUUGGAUCAGGACUCCCAAAUAAUGCAACAAUUAUUAAAGGUUCGGUUGGUCAACGAUUAAAGUCCU
rnacentral:rRNA from 1 species